UUCAACUGUUGAUGAGGCACUGUCCGAGGAGAGACAGUAGAUAAAUGCAAAUGUCCCCCAGCGCCAGAGGAGAUCCUUUCUAUGGAGAAACACCACAUACGUACAUAAUUUUCUGCCUGGAUUGUGGAAACGACCAAGGAUAAGCAACUCAAGCGAAAGAAUGCUUUGGUCGAUCCUGCUGUGUUAUUCUUCUCAAACAUGCUAAAGAAAGGGAUGAUACAAUCAAUCCAACUGUUACCUUCGGUGUGAUUUUUUGAAGGACUAAUCUGAAGAUGCUGGCUAGCUUGCACCGCCAUCAUACAGUCUAGAAGCAAAGACAAGGAUUACAGGGAAAAUAAAGGCAAUUCGCCAUCCGAAGAAAUGCCAACUAACACAUUUUUGUACUUCCUCUGUUACAGAGGUUGCUCCUGCAAAGAAACCACAGUAAACUCCCAUGAUUUAGUUAGAAAAUACUCUUCUAAAGGCGGUCACUCAACUAAGUAUCUUACACAAUAUACCCAGAUGGAUGAUUGGAGCAGCCUCAGCUGCUAAUUAGUGCUCCUGUGUUGAAUCACUCAGCUAAGUAUCAACACUGCCCUCGAGACUUGGCUAUUAGCAUAGUAGCAACGAGCUCACAAAAAAAUCUGCAGAUUCA